rnacentral:rRNA from 1 species
UACAGAGGGUGCAAGCGUUGUUCGGAAUUACUGGGCGUAAAGCGCGCGCAGGCGGUUUUUCAAGUCAGUGGUGAAAGCCCGGAGCUCAACUCCGGAACUGCCAUUGAAACUGUAAAACUUGAGGACGAGAGAGGUGAGUGGAAUUCCCAGUGUAGAGGUGAAAUUCGUAGAUAUUGGGAAGAACACCGGUGGCGAAGGCGGCUCACUGGCCAGUUUCUGACGCUGCAGCGCGAAAGCGUGGGGAUCAAACAGG